GUGGGGAAUAUUGGACAAUGGGCGCAAGCCUGAUCCAGCCAUGCCGCGUGAGUGAUGAAGGCCCUAGGGUUGUAAAGCUCUUUCGCCAGGGACGAUAAUGACGGUACCUGGAUAAGAAGCCCCGGCUAACUUCGUGCCAGCAGCCGCGGUAAUACGAAGGGGGCUAGCGUUGUUCGGAAUCACUGGGCGUAAAGCGCACGUAGGCGGAUCUUUAAGUCAGGGGUGAAAUCCCGAGGCUCAACCUCGGAACUGCCUUUGAUACUGGGGAUCUCGAGUCCGGGAGAGGAGAGUGGAACUGCGAGUGUAGAGGUGAAAUUCGUAGAUAGUCGCAAGAACACCAGUGGCGAAGGCGGCUCACUGGCCCGGUACUGACGCUGAGGUGCGAAAGCGUGGGGAGCAAACAGGAUUAGAAACCCUAGUAGUCC
rnacentral:rRNA from 1 species